rnacentral:rRNA from 1 species
CCUACGGGAGGCAGCAGUGAGGAAUAUUGGUCAAUGGGCGGGAGCCUGAACCAGCCAAGUCGCGUGAAGGAAGAAGGUACUUAGUAUUGUAAACUUCUUUUGUCGGGGAACAAAGGCGGAGACGCGUCUCCGGCUGAGUGUACCCGAAGGAAAAGCAUCGGCUAACUCCGUGCAAGCAGCCGCGGUAAUACGGAGGAUGCGAGCGUUAUCCGGAUUUAUGGGGUUUAAAGGGUGCGCAGGCGGGAGAUCAAGUCAGCGGUAAAAUGUCGGGGCUCAACCCCGGCCGGCUGUUGAAACUGGUGUUCUAGAGUGGGAGAGAAGUAGGCGGAAUUCGUGGUGUAGCGGUGAAAUGCAUAGAUAUCACGAAGAACUCCGAUUGCGAAGGCAGCAUACCGGCUCCAGACUGACGCUGAGGCACGAAAGCGUGGGGAUCGAACAGGAUUAGAUACCCGGGUAGUC